rnacentral:rRNA from 1 species
GAUGAACGCUGGCGGCGCGCCUAAUACAUGCAAGUCGAGCGAACAGACGAGGAGCUUGCUCCUCUGACGUUAGCGGCGGACGGGUGAGUAACACGUGGAUAACCUACCUAUAAGACUGGGAUAACUUCGGGAAACCGGAGCUAAAACCGGAUAAUAUAUUGAACCGCAUGGUUCAAUAGUGAAAGACGGUUUUGCUGUCACUUAUAGAUGGAUCCGCGCCGCAUUAGCUAGUUGGUAAGGUAACGGCUUACCAAGGCAACGAUGCGUAGCCGACCUGAGAGGGUGAUCGGCCACACUGGAACUGAGACACGGUCCAGACUCCUACGGGAGGCAGCAGUAGGGAAUCUUCCGCAAUGGGCGAAAGCCUGACGGAGCAACGCCGCGUGAGUGAUGAAGGUCUUCGGAUCGUAAAACUCUGUUAUUAGGGAAGAACAAAUGUGUAAGUAACUAUGCACGUCUUGACGGUACCUAAUCAGAAAGCCACGGCUAACUACGUG